rnacentral:lncRNA from 1 species
UUCCUUUUUCGGUUUCUAGUUCCUUAUUCAGUUUCUAUUUCCUUAUUGGAUUUUCAUUUCCUUAUUCAAUUUCCAUUUCCUUAUUCGGUUUCUUUUCCUUAUUCGGUUUCUUUUUCCUUUUUCAAUAUUCAUUUCCUUUUUCGGUUUCGGUUUCCUUAUUCGGUUUCUAUUUCCUUAUUCGGUUUCUAUUUCCUUAUUUGGUUUCUAUUUUAUUAUUGGAUUUUCGUUUCCUUAUUCGAUUUUCAUUUCCUUACGAUUUUCAUUUCCUUAUUCGGUUUCUUUUUCCUUUUCCAAUAUUCAUUUCCUUUUUCGGUUUCUAGUUCCUUAUUCGGUUUCUAAUUCCUUAUUGGAUUUUCAUUUCCUUAUUCAAUUUCCAUUUCCUUAUUCGGUUUCUUUUUCCUUAUUCAGUUUCUUUUUCCUUAUUCGGUUUCUUUUUCUUUUUUCAAUAUUCAUUUCUUUUUUCGGUUUCUAGUUCCUUAUUCGGUUUCUAUUUCUUUUUCGAU